ACGGGAAGAGCCCAAACCAACAAGCUUGCUUGUUGGGGUUGUAGGACACUCUAUACGGAGUUACAAAGGACGACAUUAGACGAAUCAUCUGGAAAGAUGAAUCAAAGAAGGUAAUAAUCCUGUAGUCGAAAAUGUUGUCUCUCUUGAGUGGAUCCUGAGUACGACGGAGCACGUGAAAUUCCGUCGGAAUCUGGGAGGACCAUCUCCUAAGGCUAAAUACUCUCUAGUGACCGAUAGUGAACCAGUACCGUGAGGGAAAGGUGAAAAGCACCCCGG
rnacentral:rRNA from 1 species